CACGUAGGGUGCGAGCGUUGUCCGGAAUUAUUGGGCGUAAAGAGCUCGUAGGCGGUGUGUCGCGUCGGCCGUGAAAACCUGCAGCUUAACUGUGGGCUUGCGGUCGAUACGGGCAUCACUGGAGUUCGGCAGGGGAGACUGGAAUUCCUGGUGUAGCGGUGAAAUGCGCAGAUAUCAGGAGGAACACCAAUGGCGAAGGCAGCACUCUGGGACGUGACUGACGCC
rnacentral:rRNA from 1 species